UUUCCGUAGGUGAACCUGCGGAAGGAUCAUUAACGAGUUUUGAAAUGGGUUGUAGCUGGCCUUACGAAGGCAUGUGCACACCCUGCUCAUCCACUCUCAUACCCCUGUGCACCUAUUGUAGGCUUGGUGGGAAGACUGGUGUCACAACCAGUCGGAAAGCCUUGCCUAUGUUUUAACACAAACGCUUCAGUUUUAGAAUGUCACAUUUGCGUCUAACGCAUGAAAUACAACUUUCAGCAACGGAUCUCUUGGCUCUCGCAUCGAUGAAGAACGCAGCGAAAUGCGAUAAGUAAUGUGAAUUGCAGAAUUCAGUGAAUCAUCGAAUCUUUGAACGCACCUUGCACUCCUUGGUAUUCCGAGGAGUAUGCCUGUUUGAGUGUCAUGGUAUUCUCAACCUCUAAAGCUUUUGCGAUAGAGGCUUGGAUGUGGAGGUCGUGUUGGCGCAAGUCAACUCCUCUGAAAUGCAUUAGUGUGAAUCUUACGGAUCGCCUCCAGUGUGAUAAGUAUCUACGCUGUGGUGUUGAAGUAUAUAGGCAUUCAUGCUUCUAAUCGUCUCUUCAUUGAGACAAUUACUUGACAAUCUGACCUCAAAUCAGGUAGGACUACCCGCUGAACUUAA
rnacentral:rRNA from 1 species